rnacentral:lncRNA from 1 species
UUUUUUUUUGAGACAGGGUCUUGCGCUGUCACCCAGGCUAUAAUGCAGUGGCAAGAUCAUGGCUCGCUGCAGCCUUGACCUCCCGGGCUCAAAUGAUCCUCCUGCUUCAGCCUCCCAAGUAGCUGGGACCACAGGCAUGUGACAUCACAACCAACUAAUUUUUAUUUAUUUUUGUAGACAGGGUCUUGCCAUGUUGCCUAGGCUGGGCUCAAACUCCUGGGCUCAAGCAAUCCUCCCACCUUGGCCUCCCAAAGUGCUGGGAUUACAGACGUGAGCCACUAUACCCAGCCCAAGAUUCUACAUGUCCAACAAGGUCCCAGAUAAUGCUAUUACUGCUGGCUCAUGGGCCACACUCGGUGAGCAAAGCUGCAGGUCAUCACAUCCUCAUGGUCAUAUAAGGACUCUAUUUCACAGAUGAGGAAGCUGAGGCUCAGAGGGCUCAUAUGUGGCUCGAUCACAUUUUGAACCCAGGUCUGCCUGCCUCCAAAGCUGGUGCUCAUAACUAGAUUCUCAGUUGAUGUUGGGCCAAGGUGCCUAGGUUCUCUCCUUGACCUUCCUUCUCAAGUAAUGAUGCUAUGAUAAGCUCAUCGGAGGCUAAGGCCCAGGCACGUGUUUACCUGAACUAUCUAUGUUAUAUGAUUCCUUCCUCAGACAGAGUGAGCUACUCACGAUCCCAGGUGUAUCCUGAGGCCAGCCAAGGUGUAUCCAUGACCUCAUGCCUCUGUUCCAGCCUGCCCUUUGACAGCUCAUCCCACCUGCCUGCCCUCCCUGCCUAUCUGCAGACGGUAGUCUAGGAUUGCAGCUGCCCCGGGGGCUCAUUUUCCCUCUCAGCUUCCUGCCUUAGCCGUCUCCUGCCUCCCACUCACCUAUUAUUCCAGCACUCUCACCUGGUCUUUUCUGUCUCAUCACUGCCUCUUGACAUCUUUAUCUCAUAGCAGUUAGUUAGGGGUUCUUGGUAAUGCCCUAAAUCCUUAUGGCAGGCAGAGGGAGUGGGGAAAGAGAGUGUGCUGUGCGGCUGUGCCUACUUCUGGAGGGUAAGACUCGGGCCCUCCAGGAACAAAGGAUUCCGGGUGGUGGCAGCUAUAGCCGAGCAGGAUGCUGGCCAGGGAUUACACAGGAGUAUUUUGUUUGCUUAAGAAAAUAAACAACACUGAGCAUGAGAUGGAGGGAGGAGGUGUUGGUGCCAGAGAGAUUGGGAAGAAUCUGCCAAGAGAGUGUUCUACUCACUCUCCUCUUUUCUUUAAUCUCCACUGAGCUGGAGGCAGUUAUCCUGUCCCCCACAUCACAUUCCUACUCCUGUUUCCCAUGCCUGGACCCAGGUUGGGCAAACUCUUCCUGUAAAGAACCAGACAGGAACUAUUUUAGGCUCUGUGUGCCAUAUGGUCUCAGUCACAACUACUCAUCUCUGCCUCUGUAGCACGAAAGCAAUUAGCGACAAUAUGUCAACAAACAUAUGUGACCCAUGAGAACUUUAUUUAUGGAUACAGAAACCUGCAAAUAAUGUCUUUCUUUUGAUUUUUUCCCCAAUCAUUAAAAAAUGUAAAAAGUACUCUUAGGUCGCAAGGUUAAGCCAUUCUCAGCUUAGCAGUGGCAGGCUGGAUUUGGCUUGUGACCUACAGUUGGCCAAUCCCUGAUUCCCAAAAUGUAUUCCUCAGGGAUGUGGGCAAAUACUUAUGGGAAAUGCUGGAUUAAACAGAGUUAAGAAGCAUCAGACAUUUCCAGGACGGGCUAGCACAUGCCAGGGCUCUCUAACUGACUUCAUUAGGAUUCAUCUGUUUCAUGGAGGAUCUUGCAAGACCAGAAUUCCUCAAGCCUAGAGUCUGAGGACUGUGCUUUGGGAAACAGUGCUCUGCUUGAUGCUCUCACUGGGCACAUGGUAGAAUCUAGAGCUGAGUGCCUUGCUAGCUGGAGAUAGGGUCAGAGCUCUUGACUGCACUGGCACUCUUGACACAUCACACUCUUGGUGUCCCCUGAGUGGUUCAGAGCCACACAGGCCAAGACUAGCCCACCAGAACACCAGGCCUUCCAGCUUUCUGGGCUUGUCCAUGCAUACACUUCCUUAUUCUUCCAGGUUUCCAGAACCUAAGGAGAGGCACAUUUUGAUUGAGUGAUUAUAACCUAAGGACCAAGGGUAGCUGCAUGUCAGGAAACACUCCUCAACUUCCUGGCCCUGACGGAUUAAAGGAGAGGUACUUACAGGUGAUUCCUUCUCUGUGGACUACUGUCCCAGCAUGAAUAAGGCAUCAUUAUUGAAUUAUUUUGACAGGAAGGAGACUGGUGCAUGCUGCACAGUAAUAAUGUAUUAACAUGUGUACAGUUUACCUAGGACCUCUGUGUUGUUUUUGCAUUUGUUUAUUACACUUGCCCUUGGGGGGAGGUGGGACAGAUUUUUAAAAAAUUUAUACAUGCAGAGACUGCAGCUCAGAGAAGCUAAGAGACUUGCCCCUGCCCACACAGCCUGUGGUAGAGCCUGAACUCAGAUCUAGGUCUCAUCUCACCUCAGGGGCUGCUUUCCCCAUCGCCCUAUUGUCUUAAAGUGAUGGGUGACUAGGCAAUGAAGUAAUUCGCUAGGAAAGCAUGACCAAUUUCCCUUUCUCCACCUCCCUCUUUUUCCUCCACCCCUCCCCCC